rnacentral:rRNA from 1 species
CAAUAGCGUAUAUUAAAGUUGUUGCGGUUAAAAAGCUCGUAGUUGGAUUUCUGCUGAGAACGACCGGUCCGCCCUCUGGGUGUGUAUCUGGCUCUUUCUUGGCAUCUUCUUGGUGAACGUUGCUGCACUUGACUGUGUGGAGCGCUACCCAGGACUUUUACUUUGAGGAAAUUAGAGUGUUUCAAGCAGGCAUACGCCUUGAAUACAUUAGCAUGGAAUAAUAAGAUAGGACCUCGGUUCUAUUUUGUUGGUUUCUAGAGCUGAGGUAAUGAUUAAUAGGGAUAGUUGGGGGCAUUCGUAUUUAACUGUCAGAGGUGAAAUUCUUGGACCGUCUGAAGACUAACUACUGCGAAAGCAUUUGCCAAGAGUGUUUUCAUUAA